rnacentral:sRNA from 1 species
GCAGACGAACAUGGUGCCUUCAAUGCCGCUCUUCUCCCACAGCUGCGUUGUAGCGCUGAAAUUGUAGACUACGGCGUACGGGGCUAGGGAAAGGAUGGAGAGGAUGUCUGGAUAGUGGCGCCGGAGGACGGCCAAGUUCAGCUCUUCGUUCGUGCGCGUUGAGGGUUUCGGCUGUGAAGAGUCAGUGGCCAUAGACGUGGAGCCAUUAGCAGCAAUCUGGGUGUCUGAGAUGUAGUUAUUUUGGAUAUCCGAUUCGUAGUCGGAGGGCUGGGCGAGGUUUGAGGGAUUGCGGUUGUGGGAAGAUCGGUGGGAAGGUUGUUGAGGAUUGCUGUUGGACACGUUAUUGCGUCGGCUUUGACCGCGUCUGAGAGUCAUGGCUGUGGCUGCUCUGUUAUGAUACUGUAUAACAGAUAUAUUGCUGUUGGGGG